CACAGCCUUCAGCCGCACCACCUCACACCGAACAUGGUGGUGCUGCUCUCCGCCUUCGCCACUCUGUGUGAAGGUUUCCUCGGCGUUCUCCCCACCAUCGAGCUGUGGGGAGAAUUCUUCUCUUCUAAGCUCGGCACGCACAUCGCCGGCGUGCCGGCCCAGUGCGGCGCCUUCAUCGCGAUGCGGCGCUCGACGGCCGACAACCCCUUUCCUCCCAUCACGCUGAUCAAGUCGGUGAAGAUGUGGCAGCGCUCGUACUUCUACGUGAAGAACCUCGCCUCCGACGGCGACUGGGUCAACUUUCCGCCUUACAACGCUGCUCCCCUGACUGGG
rnacentral:rRNA from 1 species